rnacentral:tRNA from 1 species
GGUGCUGGGGCUCAGUGGCAGAGCACUCGCCUAGGACGUGGGAGGCCCUGGGUUCGAUCCUCAGCACCG